CCACGCCCACAUGCAUACCCGGUUUGUCAAGAUUAAAAAACCUCAAGGGGCUGUAAACUGUAAUCCCAGCACAUAGGAGAGGUGCAGCGGCAUCUAGAGGUAGGUUGUCUGGAAUACGAACUACGAAGUGCUCAUCCGUGACCAUGCUGUCUGAGUAGCCUCCGUACGUGGUGGUUCCAUCGUGGUAUUUGGUACUGUAGGUGAGUAUCAUUUUUGGGCAAUAAUUCUCGAGAUCGUUGUUGCAACUACCGCAAGAGUGGCAUGAUCCAACCAUGCACCCCACCCCCACUUUGUCUCCAACUUUGAACUUCUCAACUUUGCUUCCUACCUCUGUCACUUCCCCAACAAUCUCAUGCCUGCAUUGCCAAUUUAAUUAAUUAACCCUCAGAUGCAAUGCAUGUAUAAAUUUAUUCCAGUCAAAGUUCCUCUAAACAUUUUCCCUGGACUGCCAAUUGCCAUUCAUGAUGUUUAUGUGCAAAAAAAUGAGAAAUAACUAUAUACGGUCAUAGAUUUUUCUGACUGUGUGUACGUACCCGGGAACUAGAGGGUACGUGGAAGUACCCCACUCAUUCUUGGCCAUAUGAAGGUCUGAGUGACAUAUUCCACAAAACAGCACCUUGAAUCUCACAUCCUUCUCUCCUGUAGACCUGUUGCAAGAGGUGUUUCUUGCUUAGCUUAGCAUAAACCGCAAGUGAAAAUGAGAGAUAUUCAUAGGUAAAAAAUCAAUCAGAUCGCCCUUCACCAACCAUAAUAUUACUAACAAUGUAAAGCUAUAAACAUGUGAUUCAAUAAACUUAUUUCACAUAUUAAAAAUAAAAGACUGCCAUAUAUCUGAUCUAGCCCAUCUUGCAGCUGCGCUGAAUGCUUGUUGGUGUUUAGAAAAACAAGAAGAAAAUGGAUCUAAAUAAACCGAGCUAGACGAAAAGAAAAAUAAAAUCCCAUAAUUAAAUAAAGCAGCGACAAGAUGGAGGAGAGGGAAUAACCUCCUGGAGAAUUUGAAAGGAGAGAGGACCCCGGAUUGGUCUCUGGCUGCCCAUCCAAAAGCCUUGGUAGGAUGUUCUUCCUCGUAAGAUUUUUCUGCCAUUUCCACCCUCUUUUUUGCUUUAUUUGGUACUGCCGAGAGAGCGUGCACGGUGCACCUAUUUAUCAUGGCGGGAUGACAUACUGGGUGAGCUAAGCACCUUUAGUCGCUCAUCCGUGAGCUAAUCAAUUACCUUGAGAGAAAAGCCAUCUGUCCAUGAGAAUUAACAAGUGAAUUAACAAGUAUUCUGUCGCUUACUCUCAACUCUAUUUCCUUGCGUGAAUUAACAAGUGAAAAAAAAAACAUGUGAAUUUCCGGCCUCCAAACCAAUGGUUGUGUGCCUCCCCAUAAAAUAAUAUAUUGGAAAAGUUAAUGUGAUUUUUAAUGCACGAACUUUUAUGAUUUCCUUAGAUGAUGCUUAAAUUUUAUUUGAAUAGAUUUCCAAAUUAAAAAAUAAAUAAAAUAUGGAUGUCCCUCCAUUUGUGUCAACACAUCUUUUGUCGUGUGAUAUGGCAUGGUGAUGUGUCAACAAUUGUUUAAGACACAUUAACUUUAAAACUCUAAAUUAAUUUUUAAAAUAGUGUAAAAUGUACCAGAGUUAAUGAUAUGUUUCAUUAUAUUAUGUUUUUUAAUUGAAAAGUGUGAAAAAAUAUGUUAAUAUUUAUAAAAUAACAUAUCAUAUGUAAAAGUCCUUUAAUUAGAAAAAUAAAAUGAUAAAUGAGCUCACUUUCAAACGGAUGGAAGGUGCAGGAGAUCAAUUCCAACUUUUUUUAGUACUCGAGGGAUGGGUUUUGUAAUGAUUUAAAAGUUCAAAAAUGUUUGUAGUAAUCUGGACCAGUGUGUAACGGUAGAAAUCAAAAUUUUCUAUCCCUCAAAUUUCAUGAUAGUUAUUUUUAUUUUAUUUUUAUAAUUAAAAUAAAUAAUAUAAAAAUUAAAUAAGUUUUUAUAUAUUUUUUUAUCAAUAAAACACAUGCGAUGAAAUUUUCAAGAUAUUUUGUCAUGUGACAUUAUAAAAGAACCUGAAAAUCCUUUAUAAAUAGAGUGACUCAAUCUAGAAAAAAAGAAAGAAUUUUUAAAGAUACAAAAUUUUCUUUUAAGACAAGCAUUUCAAGUAAGGAAGCUUUUUGUCAAAAGCUCUAAAGCUUUAUUUAUCUACGCUUGAAGUCUACAAAAAACAAAGCUUUAUUGGACCAAAACAUAGACGACACCCCAUAAAAGUUUUCAACAACAUUUUAAAAAUAAAUUAAGAGUACUCUUUAAAAUAUUAAAUCAUCAAAUCUCGAUUUACAAUACACGCUCAAAUUCAUGUUACUACAAAACAUAAAUCUUGAUUUAAUUUCACAAAUAAAUCAUAUCAUCAUAUUUCUACUUCAUUUAUUUCUCAUUACCUCUCCUUUUUUAUUCUCGUCUAGUCAUCUUCUCUUCUUAUAGUCUUUUUGUGGUUUUCAAGUUAUUAGGUUUUGAUUUCAUAGGUAAGCAAGCGCCCGAGCCCUGCAAAAUAUUUUAAAGUUUUAUAUUAUUUAGUAUUUAAAUAUAGAAUAGUAUAAUAUUUUUAUUUUAAAUAUACUAUACUAUUCCAUAUAUAAUAAUUUUAAUUUUCUUUCAAGACAAACACUUCAAGUAAAGAAGCUUUCUUAAAAGCUAUCAAGACUCAUUCAUCUACGCUUGAAACAAUGGCGGAACUAGAGGGAGGUAAGCAGGCCCCGGCCCUACAAAACAUUUUAAAAUUUUAUAUUAUUUAGUAUUUAAAUAUGGAAUAGUAUAAUAUUUUUAUUUUAAAUAAAUAAAUUUUUAAUAAUAUAUCUUGUUAUAUUAAUUUGGGUCUACCCUAUUAAAUUCUACCAGCAACGCCCGUAGUUUGAAAAUCUACAAAGAACAAAGUUCUAUUAAACCAAAACAUAGACGCCACAUAAAAGUUCUUCAACAACACUUUAAAAAUAAAUCAAUAGUAGUUUUUAAAAUAUCAAAUCAUCAAAUCUCGUUUCGCAAUACACGUUUAAAUUUACAUUCUUACAAAACACAAAUCUUGAUUUAAUUUCACAAAUAAAUUAGGUUAUCAUAUUUCUACCUCUUUUAUUUCUCAUUGCCUCUCCUUUUUUAUUCUCAUCUUCUCUUCUCGUAGUCUUUUUGUGGUUUUCAAUUUAUUAGGUUUUGAAUUCAUAUAUGGUUAGAUUUUGUACAGCUUUACUUGUUUCACAGUUAGAUUUGUGUGGCCUGAUAUGAACAUUGCUGCAUUGCUUCAUCGCCUUUAAAAUAAUUCAAUCUUUUAUUUUUCUUCUUCAACUCUCUGCUCUUCAUCGCCUUUAAAAUAAUUAAAUAGAACUGUUGACCAUUAGUGGGAUAAUGAAAGGGGUCUCUCACCUCACAAUCUCUUGAGAUAUGACUUCAGAUCGGAGCAAAAACUUGGAUCUCCUGAAAAUUAAACCCAGCCAUACACACGCAAACCUUGAAGCAUUAAAAAGCUUCUUUGGCUGUAGAUUAAAAGCCCCUUAACAAAGAAAAUUGCAGUGUUAUCACGGUCUAUAUAUCAAAGCUUCAUAAACAAGAGAGUCCCAUCUGUGAGUGGGUCCCAGAUGAACAUAGCCUCCAGAUCUCAAGGACAUCACAAUAGCGUGGAGAGAGCCUUGUGCGAGAUAGAGGGAGAAAGGUGGCUGUGAUUUUCCAAGAUUUCUCCUUGCAGUGAUGAAAAGGAGAGGGAAGAAACUUUUUUAAUGUUGUUGACGUGGCUUUUUUUAAUCAUAAUUAAUAACUUGAUUCUAUUAUAUAAAAAUUAAUUAAAUUAGUUCCAAGGAAGUUGUUGUAUUAAUAACAAAUAUAUUAAAAUAUAAAUAAGUUAUUAUAAUAAUAUUUUUUAUUUGAGUGCAUAUAAGAGAGAAAUCAGCCAUAUAAUUUUAAUAAUUUGGUUAAUGAAUGACUUUUGCUACCAUCGGAGAUGUUCCAAAAAGAUAAACAUGAUAUAGUACAUAUUUGAUAGGAAACUUUUCUUAACAUGACAAAAAAAAAAAAAAAGGUGAUACCGACGUUUUUUAAAAGUAUGAAAAACAGGAAUACCUUGAUUAUUAACUUAACAAGAUUUAAUAAACAUGAUUAAUUUAAUAAUAUAAUUUUAAAAAUAAAAAUAUCAUAAAUAACAUAAAUAAAUAAAAAUAUAAUAAUUAAACGUUUUUUUAACAAGUAAAAAAAACAUGAUACCUUAAUUAUUAACUUAACAAAAUAUCAUAAGCAUGAACAUUUCGUGCUUAUAUUUGAUUUGAUUUAAAAAUUAAUUUUUUAAAAAAGAUAAAUUAAACAAAAAACGAUAAAUAAAAAGACUUGAAAUAUCUCGGGUUAUUAUCAAAAUUAGUGAAAAUUCCUAUAGAAAAAAAAUAACGGAGUCCAAUCUUUAAUUUAAUAAAUGUUAAGGGGUGAAAUUGAAAAAACACGAGGUUAAAAAGGAAAAAAAAAACCGAGCAAAAUUUCUAAACGUGGGUUAAUCUUUCAAAUUCACAACCCGUGAAAUUCUAGAUUCAUGCUCAAUGAAGAAGCUCAAUUAUCAACAAAUUAAAUCAUGGAGCAUGAAAUCGUAAAAAAGGAGAUCAAUCUAGAAAACAUUUCCAAGGAAAAAAAACAUAGCAAAUAAAAUAACGAGGAUCAAAUUGGAAGAAAAAAACCUUAAAAGGAUGAAAUCGUAAAAAAAUAAACUUUAAAAAAUAAUCUCAAAUAAAACAAAUAUCAAUUAAAAGAAUAAGAACCAAAUCUGAAAGAUAAAAAAUAUUGAAGGGGAUGAAAUUGAAAAAAAAUCUAAUUUUAUAAAUCAUCUCAAAUAAAUCAAAUAGUAAUAAAAAAAACAAGGACUAAAUAUAAAAAAAUAAUAAAGAGAAGGGCUGCUUUUAUUUUUUGCAGGGUCAACACAAAAAUCAAGGUGAGAGGAAAAGCAGUAGAAAAAAAAAGGAUUGCAUGCACUGAAUUGGAUGUCCAAUUAAAACACGCGUCAUACCUGGACGAAGAAAAAGCAAAGACGAAUCUAAUAACACCACCUCAUUACGUCUCACGCAUAGCGUAAAAGGAUUAAUGACAUUUCACACGCUUGCAUGUGUGCAAGUCAAUUUUUUUAAUAAUAUCUAUGCUAGGUCAAAUAUCAAACAACCUGUCAAAUAAUAUUAUCAUUACAAAAACCCAAUAUGAAAAAAGAUACAAAGACCCAUGGACCAAAGCUAUAAAAAAUCUAAAAUGAUGAAGCCUUUAUAUUCAAGUUAAGAAAACUUUGCUUUUAAAGAUAAUGAAGUAAUUUUACUAUGCUAAAUAAAUAUAUAAAAACCUUGUUUCCGUUAUCCAAUUCAUAAAUAACUUUAUGAUCAUUAGAAAAAGACUAUUCUACCCUCCAUGCAAGGGUUAGAAUUGGGUUAAUAAUUCUAGUAUGAAUCAAAAAUCCCUACUUCAUUAUUGUAAUAAAUUCACUCUUGGUCCACAAUAUUUGGGGUGGGCACUUAUAGUUUUUUUUUCUUCUUAAUAUUGCAUUGCAAUUUUCUUAUUUUAAAUUGAGUUGGGUCAGUCGAUGACAACCACAACAACAGAAGUUUUAAAAAGUAUUACAAGUCGUACUCUACACUGAUCUAUUUAUAUAAAUUAAGAGGUGCUUAAAGAAUACCAAAAACUGAAGAUGAUUCAAGCUCAUGAAUUCUCACAUUACAUGCAUUUUAUUCAUCCAAUAUUUAUUGGGGAGAAAAUUCAAUUUUUCAUUGUGUUGCCAAUAUCAAUGACAAAUCGAUACCUAACAUCAGUUUUCAAUAGCUGCUCAAUGGCAGUGUUCACAUAAUCCAUUGAAAUCAACUCGAUAUCUGCUGUUAUGUUGUUCUUAGCAGCAAAAUCAAUCAUCUCUUGUGUUUCCUGCAUUCCUCCACCAGCACUCCCACCCACUAUUUUUCUUCCUGUCAGGCCAAUAACAUGGUAGUUAUACUAAUAUUUAUCUGUUUGAUUACCCAUGAGAAGAUCAAUGCUGCGUUAAAUUUAGAACACAUACCACUACAACAUUAUCCAGUUUUACCGACGGAUUAAUUCCGUCGGUGACAGCAAUUAAAUCCGUCGGUGAAAACAAUACCGACGGAUUCACCGACGGAAGUGAUCCGUCGGUAAAUCCCAUUUCCGUCGCUAAUUCUGUCACAAAUAAAAAAGCAAAUAAAAAAAACCAUACACCGAUGGUAAUACAGACGGAUACGCGCGCCAAAAAAAAAAUUCCUCGCGGGAACAUUACCGACGGCCAAUCCGUCGGUAAUUUUAAGGGUAAUUACCGACGGCAUCACCGACGGGUUGUCCGUCGGUAUUUAUGGCAUGGCUUGUAAUUUUGUUGCAACUCUCUGUGUAAUACCGACGGAUAUUAUCCGUCGGUAUGGCCGUCGGAAGUUAAUCACCGACGGAUAAUAUCCGUCGGUGAUACUGUCGGGAAAUAUGGCAUGGAUGGUAAUUGUUCGGCAACUCUCUGUUAAAUACCGACGGAUAGUAUCCGUCGGUAUAUCCGUCGGUAUGUAUUUGAAAUAUAUAUAAAAAAUAAUUUAUUAAUUGUAAAAAACAUUAAUAAACAAAUAAAAAUGCAUUAAACAUUAAAAAUCUAAAAGUAAUAAUAUUCAUUACAAAUUUAAUGUGUUUAAAAAACAAAAUUAAACUAGUAUAGCGGCGGAGCUGGAGGAGGAGGCGGAGGAGGAGGAGGCUGGUUGUUCCCGGGACCAAACGGCCAAAAAGAAGCUGCACAAGUAUCGUCACCCAUCUUUGAUCUCAUCUCCAUGACUAUUUGACGGAGCUCAUCAUAAUUCGUCGAGAGUUGUUGAUAUUGUUGUUUCAACGCAAUGAACUCCUCAGACUGAGUGUUCGAUACUGAUGGAGAGCUUCCAACAGUUGAGACACUACGAGUCGAACGCAAGUUGUCAGCCGUAGUGUUGGAGAGCCCGUAGACCCUGUUUUUAUCGGGUCCACCAGACGAUCCCGCCUCCAUCCACAAAUCUGGAUCGAAAUCUGGAUGGGUCGACGGAUUGUCCCCAUAUCUCUCCCUCAACUGGCUAUUAUAGGUCUCCUGAAAAUUCCAUCGGUAAAAAAAUCAUCAAAUGCAAUUCAAGAUGCAAUUCAAGAAAAUAAUAACUUACAAAAUAAAAUGAAUGAACGAACAUACCACGAAGUGCUGAGCACGGUUGUCCACGAACUGCUGCACCCCUUUUUGGCGGUCUUGACUCCGCACAUGCGUCUCUAGAAACAGCUCCAUUGGACUCGGUUCACGUCCAAGAGACGCAGCCUGUAAGGAAAAAAUAGGUUGAAAGUUAAAUAUAUUAUAAGGAAUGACAAAUUAAUUAUCGAUAUAUUUCAAUAAAAUUAAUCUUACCAUCCGCUUUGCAUGUGCGCUGAAUGGGACGGAUCCGCCAGUGUGCGUGGUCACCGAACCAUAAAUUUGCCGGUUCCGGUUGUCGGCGCCAGACUGUGAGCGCCGUGAGAACCGCUCUGAGGUCACGUGCUCAAUAUAUGCCGUCCAUAUUUCCCCCGAGAUGAAUGGCGGUUUGAAUUCCUGCCAAACCGCCACCUCAUUCCAUCCUUCAAGACCGUUAUCCCUCGCUGUCUUUUUGAUUUUUUUUGGGUGUCAUACCAAAAAUCACGCAACCUACUUCCAUAGUAACAAAUUAGAAUUUAAAACAUUAAAUUAUAAAACAAAAAUAAAUAUUAUUUUUUAUGUUACCUAGUUGCCGCGUGAUUCUCCCAUACCCUCCUCACAACAUUGUUGUCCGCCCUAUCCCACUCAAAUUUGUUCUGUGUAUAUAAAUAAUUCAUAUAAAAUAAAAAUAGUACAAGAUAUAAAAUUAUAAAAAUCAUUUAUUAAAAAUAAGCUGGAAAUUAAAAAUUAACACCGACCUGAAAUCGUUUAAACCAUGCAUCGAUAUUAGGUUUCCACUCAGGAUGUUUGGAAACCUGGCUCCAUUGAAACAAUGGAAUCUCCAUCGACGAUUUAAACGCCAAUGUUAUAGUCCUUGCAGCCUCAAUGUUUGUAAACCUGAAAUUAAAUAAAAGUAGUAAUUAAUAUUAAUUAGUUGUUCAUAAAUUAUGUUAUAAGUAUAUAAAAAAAAAGUCUAAAACCUAAACAAACUUACAUUGAGAGGUCAUCCUUCCAUUGUGCCUGGUACUUGCGGGUGAAUUGACCCCGCUGUGAAGGCACACCGCUUCUGCGCUGUGAAACCGCGCUAGAAGAGGCAGCAUCACAAGUUGGCGUAGAUUCCUCGCCGUGAUCAGCACCUAAGGAUACGUCCUCCUCGCUGCUAGAAGAACUAGCUGCAACCGUCUUCUGACGACGUGCUGUAGAUUUCAUUCUACGCAUCUACACACAUGUAUACGAAUAAUUAACUUCGAUUAUUUAAAAAAAAUUCGACAGAGUCUCCCCUGUACUGGGGGGUCCCAAGUUGUCGACAAAAUCAUAUUACACUUCCAAUUUUAUUUCACAUCCCGAUCCAAUCAUCCUGGAUCUCAACCCAACUCAUCAUCAUCAACACAACAUUUUAUUCAAUAACAUCAUAUAGAAUUACAACUAUGAACAUUCAUUUAAUUAUUUUAUCCUAAAUUAAGAUAAACUAAUAAUUAAAUGCAAUUCUAUAUAUAUAAAUUAACAUUUUUAAAAUAAAUCAACAAUAACAAUUAUAUUUAUAAACUAACAUUUUUAACAUAAAUUCAACAAUAACAAUUAUAGCAAUACAAACAAUAAUAUCCUAAAUUAAGAUAAACUAAUAAUUAAAUGCAAUUCUACAUAUAUAAACUAAUAUUUUUAAAAUAAAUCAACAAUAACAAUUAUAUUUAUAAACUAACAUUUUUAAAAUAAAUCAACAAUAACAAUUAUAUUUAUAAACUAACAUUUUUAACAUAAAUUCAACAAUAACAAUACAAACAAUAAUAUCCUAAAUUAAGAUAAACUAAUAAUUAAAUGCAAUUCUAUAUAUAUAAAUUAACAUUUUUAAAAUAAAUCAACAAUAACAAUUAUAUUUAUAAACUAACAUUUUUAAAAUAAAUCAACAAUAACAAUUAUAUUUAUAAACUAACAUUUUUAACAUAAAUUCAACAAUAACAAUUAUAACAAUACAAACAAUAAUAUCAAAACUAAAAAACUAAAAUUAAUAAAUAAAACUAAAAAACUAAAAAACACUACACAACACACAAAAUUAAAAAACAUUAUAUCAAUUCAAAAUAAAUUUGGGAAUAAAAAAUGCUUACCUUAAUAAUGUGUUGAAUUUAAGAUUUUAUCUACAAACAAUAUACAAAACAAAGAACACCAAAAAAAAUAAACAUAAUUAAAAUAAAAAAAAUACAAAGAUAAAGAAAAAAAAAUACAUACCUUUUGAAACUAAAUGAGAGAAGAAGAUCACACUUGAGAAGAGGAGAAGAGAAAGGGAGAAGAGGAGAAGAGAAGUGAAAGGAGAAGAGGGGGAGAGAAAGGGAGAAGAGGAGAAGAGGGGGAGAGGGAGGAGAAGAGGGGGAGAGGAGGGGGAGAGGGAGGAGACGGUGCGGGGGGGGGGGGGUGGGGGGGCGGUAUAUAUAGGGAAAUUCCGACGGAAUUACCGACGGCCCUUAAUUGCUGUCGGUGCAAUUAAUUUCCGUCGGUAAUUCCGUCGGAAAUUAAUUGAAAUGCGCACCAAAAAAGUUCGAAAAUCCCGCCAAACUUUUCGAUCCGUCGGUAAUGCCGUCGGUGAUGGUGCAGACGGGACACGUGUCAGACAUGCGCGGGCCGUCGGUGAUGCUGUCGGUAUGUGACGUCGGUAAUUGUGCAGACGGACACGUGUCAGACAUGCGUGCGGACAAUUCCGUCGGUGAUGCCGUCGGUAUUGGCGUCGGAAACGCCGUUGGUGAAUGUGGCAAAAUCCCGUAAUUUUUUUGCAACUCUCUGUGAAAUACCGACGGGUUAUAGGUCGUCGGUAUAUCCGUCGGUGAAUGUGGCAAAAUCCCGUAAUUUUUUUGCAACUCUCUGUGAAAUACCGACGGGUUAUAGUCCGUCGGUAUAUCCGUCGAUGAAAAGGUAAAUUUUUCUUAUGUUUUAUAUGUAACCCUCUCAAAAAAUCUUGAAUUGCAAACUAAAAAACACACACAACACAAUAACAACGGCUGACCCUUAAAAAAGAAUAAAUAUUUCAUGUUUCAAAUUAUUACAUUAUAAAAAUAAGGACAUGUUUAGUUAGUCGGAAUUUUCAUCUUCGUCCUCCAUUGAAUUGUUAUCAUCAGCUUCAUCGCACUCUUCAAUUUCGUUAUCAUCUUCUUCAACAACAUUCUUUUUUCUACUAGUGGAGCUCAGAACAACAUUCAACUCCUCUGCGUCAACAUCAACAAGACUAUCGUUGAAAACGCGAAAAUUCGAAUUUUCUUCUAAGUCAAUCGACGGAGCAACUCGGUAUGGUUCAACCAACUCACUAGCUUGAAAGACUUCAUCUAUCACACUUGUGUCUUCGUUCUCAUCCUGAACAACCUCGACACGACCCUUGGGUUUUGUUUUUAAAACGGAUAACCAAUCAACUCUUGAUCGGUCCUUUCUAAAGGAAGGGGUGUAUGUGUAAUAAACUUGUUGGCAUUGCUUUGCGAAAACAAAGACGUCGUUUACGUUGCGGUGUCUAGCUUUUGAAUUGAUUUCAACGAGACCAUAGUGAGGAUCUACUCUGAUUUCUCUGUCAGUUGUGUCAUACCAAUAACAUUUGAAUAAAAACACUCUAUUUUGCUCGCUAUGAUAUUGCAGUUCGAUGACCUCUUCCAAUCUACCGUAGUAGUCAACUUCAAACUCACUAGAAGUCGAUCCCUUAAUACAAACACCACUGUUGUAUGUCUUUCUUCCAUGCCCGUAUUCUUCAGUAUGAAAGACAUAUCCAUUGACAAAAUAUCCAUUAUAGCACUUGACUUUUCUUUCAGGGCCCAGACAUAGUAAAGACAGUGAAAUAGCAGCACUACCUCCCAUUUGAUAAACCUAGCUUGUAAAUUAAAUACAACAAUAAUCAAUAAACGGAUAUUAUGUAACAUUGACUACAAUUAAUUACAUUGCAAGAGAUAAUGAGUUUGUGCUAGGACUUACAUGUGUUCUAAACCAUGUGGCAAAUUGUUCAUCUUGUAAUUGAAAGAUCUGGGAUUCGGUCAGCUGUGAGUUAUUGGACAGUAAGUAUGGUCGAUGUUGCCUGCAAGGUUGUUCCAAAGUAUAUGAGUGUAUGGUAUCACAAAACAUAAAUAGUACACUCUUGACAAAGUUUAAGUCGAACAUCUACUUACUUAAUAAAAGGUCUCAGCUCAUCACAGUUAAAUAGGACAUAAUUGUGUGCUUGUCUGAACUCUAUUUCAGACAAAUAUCUUCCCCUCACGGCAUUUUUAGGUGUGGGUCGUCCAGGAUUGGAGAAUAUUGACAAGUUCCCACUUGAAUGCACUUCCCCACCAUCAUCAUGCCGUGGAACAUGGUUUAUCCUCGUUCUCAAAUGAUGUUCGAAAUAGUAUGAGAUAAAUGUUGAGAUCUCCUCAACAAUAUACGCCUCACAUAUUGACGCCUCAACAUGCGCCUUGUUCUUAACCUUUUUUUUAAGAUUGAACAAGUACCUGCAUAUAUAUAUAUAUAUAUAUAUAUAUAUAUAUAUAUAUAUAUAUAUAUAUAUAUAUAUAUAAAUUAUCAAUUAAAAACAUUAAAAUAAAAACAUUUAAUUAUAAAUGUCAUAGCAACUGUAAUAUCUAACCUCUCGAAUGGAUACAUCCAUCUGUACUGGACCGGUCCUCCAACUUUUACCUCAAACGGUAAAUGUACGGGUAGAUGCUCCAUUGAGUCAAAAAAUGAUGGAGGGAAUAUCAUCUCAAGUUUGCAUAUUGUCUCGACGAUAUUCUUUUCAAGCCUCUCAAUGUGAUCAACAUUCAACUUGCUGGAGCAUAUAUCUCUGAAGAAAUGACUAAUCUCCGUUAGUGCAUCCCAUAUCCCCUUUGGCAACAAAUCACGAAAAGCUAAUGAGAUGAGUGUUUGCAUAAACACAUAGCAGUCAUGACUCUUCAUUCCAUAUAAUCUGCAUUCCUCCGUAUUAACCAGCCUUGAUAUGUUCGAGGCAUGUCCAUCGGGGAAACGCAGACUCUUAAGCCAUUUGUAGACUAGUAGUUGUGCGUUUUUCUCUAGCACGAAGCUUGCUCUUGGUUUUGCGACCCGUGACCCAUCACAAACCAACUCCAUAUUUUUACGGUUACAGAACAGCGCUACAUCCAAUCUAGCCUUGAUGUUGUCCUUUGUCUUCCCCUUCACAUCCAUGACGGUGUUGAAAAUGUUCUCAAACACGUUCUUUUCAAUGUGCAUGACGUCAAGGUUAUGGCGGAGAAGAUUGGUCUUCCAAUAAGGAAGCUCCCAAAAUAUACUUCGCUUCACCCAAUUAUGGGUCAAACCAAAACCAGGAAACUUCUGCUUACCUGAUUGGAGACCAAACACAAUUUCACCGUACUCUGACACAACAUCAAACAAUUCUUCACCGGAAAGACGCGGGGGUGCAACAUCAUUUUCAACCCUGCCAACAAAGAAAUCCUUUCUGUUCUUUCUGUACCUGUGGUUAUGUGGCAAGAAACGACGGUGACAGUCAAAAAAAGAAGCUUUACCCCCGUUUGUUAGCGUGAAUGCCUUGUUGUUCUCCAUACAAUAUGGACAUGCUAGCUUUCCAUGCGUGCUCCAACCAGACACCAUUCCAUAAGCUGGGAAAUCAUUGAUAGUCCACAUCAAAGCCGCUCUCAUAACAAAAUUUUGUUUCCUCGAGAUGUCAUAAGUCAAAGCUCCAGAGGACCACAACUGCGUCAACUCAUCAAUCAACGGAUGAAGACAAACAUCUAUAUUCCGCCCCGGACUGCUCGGACCUGGUGACCAUAGAUAAAAACAUGAACUCCGGCCUCAUACACAUCCCCGGUGGCAAGUUAUAAACCGUCAGUAUGACCGGCCAACAAGAAUAAGGAGCAGCAAAUGACCUGAAUGGAUUGAAUCCGUCUGUACACAACCCAAGACACACGUUCCUUGAUUCAGCUGAAAAGGGAGGAUGCAUACUGUUAAAGUGUUUCCAGGCUUCACCGUCAAAAGGAUGAACCAUCACUCCAUCAACCGCAUGGUGUGAUUGGUGCCAUGUCAUGUGCUCAGCAGUCCUUGGUGACAUGAAUAACCUCUACAGUCUAGGUGUGAUUGGGAAGUAUCUAAGUUUUUUAUAUGCCACGAGAGUCUUCCCUCUACCAGUUCUAGGUUUGUAACGGGAAUGCCCGCACGUCAUGCACUCGGUCAUCUCGGCAUUUUCAAGGUAGUAUAACAUGCAGAAGUUAGGGCAUAUAUCAAUUUUCUGGUAUCCUAAACCGAGGGGUUUCAUCAUGGACUUGGCAGCAUAGAAGUUCUCUUUCAGCCUGUUCCUUUCAGGUAAAUUGCUUCUCGCCCAUUCAAUAAUCUUGUCAUAACCGGCCUCACUCAACCCGUGAUCUGACUUGAUGGUGAACACCUGUGCUACGGCUGAUAAUUUACUGUGGUUCGUGCAGCCAUCCCAUAAUGGUUCGUCAGAAUCUCUAAACAGAUCAAAAAACCUUGCUGCAUCUGCAUUAGGUUCUUCUUCUACGAUUGGACAUCCCCUGACAUUAUCUUCACUCAUUCUCAUUGCAUCCAUAACCAUAUUCCUGUAAGGAUUACUGUUCUCAUUUCCAACUUCAUGCAUGUUACUAGCACUAGAAGUUGACCCAACCACCUGUUCUUCCAUGCUCUCAUCAGGAACAAAUAGUUCUCCGUGAGCAUACCAACACAGGUAAUCUUCCAUGAACCCUUUGGUUAGAAGAUGCAUCGUUACAACAUCUUGAUGUAGAAACUUUAAAUUUUUACACUUCCUGCAUGGACACCUAAUACUGCCAUCAGUAAAAUUCCUCGGAAUAGAUGUUGCGAAAUUAAUAAAACCCUGGACACCGUUACAAUAAUCCAUCCUCCGCAAUCCUUGGGGUGAGUUCCGAUACAUCCAUGAACGAUCAUCCAUGACUUCUAUUGAACCUCUAUAAAACAUAACAAAAAUAUUGGUUUUCCCCGACAUUAUCCAACAAACUAAAACAACACUUAUGUUAAAUAUUCAUUAUCAAUUAUCAACUAUCAACGUUCAUACAUACAAAUUUAUACAUAUAUAAAUUUACAGAAUUACUCACAACUUCAAAAUAUAAUUGAUAACAAUUAAACAAGACACUUAAAUACGCUAUUAAUUAUUUAUUUCAUCACAACGACACAUUUAAUUCGGUGUAAUUCAAACAAAAUUUCAACAAUUUACAAACAAAUAUAAUUUGACAAAAUCUAAAACAACCUAUAACAACUACAAAAUUAUACAUUCAUACUACAAGUUUCUUUGACAAAUAACAAUUAAACAAGUACAAACGUUAACAAAAUACAUAUACUAAAAUAAUAAAAUUCACAAUUAAAUAUUAAAACUAAUUAAAAAGGAUAGAUUUACUUACAAAAAAAUGAUAAAAUCUACAAGAAACGGAUAUUGUGACCACGUACAAGAUAUAAGAAACUUGAGUGCUCGUGUUGAGAAUAAUGGAGAGUUUGGGAUGGGUGUUUGGCUGCAGUUUGGGAGGAGUUUGGGAGGGGAGAGGUGGGAUGGGAAAGAAAAAGAAGGAGAAACAGAGGAUGAGAGUGUCGGCAGAUGGGUGUAUAUAAUGGCUUUUUCCGACGGAAUCACCGACGGAAUAAUUCCAUCGGUGAUGCCGUCGGUGACAUCGCCACGUCACUGUACGGCUAUCACAGUUUGAAUCCCUCGGUACUUUCCGUCGGUAAAAUCGCCUGACGUCACCAUUCCGUUGCGUAUUUCCAGACGAACUGUAUAUGUCGUCGGUGAAGUUGACGGAAUAUUUCCGUUGGUAUCUACCGACGGCAUUACCGACGGCAUUAUUCCGUCGGUAUAUACCGACCGAUUUUGAGACGGAAUUAUUUCCGUCGGUAUUAAUUACCGACGGAAUAUGUCCGUCUGUAAUUCCGUUGCUUUUCUCCGGUUUUCUGAUAGUGUACUGAGAUACAUGCAUUUAUACAUACCCACGAUCAAAGGAAACACUGGUAGCUCAAGUGGUUUCGCAGGCGCACCAACCAAAACCAGCUUUCCUUGAGUCUUCAAUAGACUAAUCAAAGGCAAGAUAGGAUGCAUGGCCGACACCGUGUCAAUUACACCAUCCAUUGUGCCCAUUGCAGCCUGAAUAGCAAGCAAUAUUAGAUCAUAAAACAAACAUACAGGAUAAAAGAUUUGAUUUAAUGUUUAACUAGUUUACAAAUGCAAGGAAGGUGCUCUGAAUCAUGUUUAUAUACCUGCAUCUGAUCCUGAUCACGGCUAACCAAAAAUGAGUCGGCACCAAGAUGCUCGAGGGCUUCUUGUUUCUUGUUGGGUGAGGUGCUAAUAACUGUCACCUUGACCCCCAUAGCUUUUGCAAACUUUACAGCUACAUGACCUAGCCCACCGAGCCCAACCACACCCACAUGCUGUCGCUUACUCUCAACUCUAUUUCCUUGCGUUGAAUUAACAAGUGAGAAAAAAAAAAUUGUGAAUUUCCGGCUUCCAAACCAAUGGUUGUGUUUGUGUGCCUCCCAAUAAAAUAAUAUAUUGGAAAAGUUAAUGUGAUUUUUAAUGCAUGAACUUUUAUGAUUUCCUUAGAUGAUGCUUAAUUUUAUUUGAAUAGAUUUCCCAAAUUAAAAAAUAACUAAAAUAUGGAUGUCCCUCCAUUUAUGUCAGCGUGUCUCUUGUAGGCUGACAUGGUGAUGUGCAUAUAACAGGGCUGCUCUCUUUGUUGAAAUCUAACAGUUUUCCACUGUACCGUGUAAAAGCAUGUGCAUAUAAAAAUAAGAGUGAGGUUAUUGUUUAGGUAGUUUUUUUUUUUUGAAAAAAAUAAAUUUUAAUAAAGUAUGGUUAGUUGUAGUUAGUUGGAUUUAGAUACGUAUUUGGUAUAAAUUAUGGUUGAAAUUUAUGUGUAGUAAAAAUAUAUUUAUAAAAUGUUUGGUUUGUGUUUGAGAAUGUGUUUACGGUUGCUUUUCAUAGUAUUUUUUACUUGGAAAUGCAUUAAAAUAAUAAUAUUAUUAUUAUUAUUUAAAAUUAUUUUUGAUAUCAGCGUAUCAAAAUAAUAUGAAAACACCAAAAAAAUAUUAAUUUGAAGCAAAGAAAAAAAUAAAAAAAUUUUAAAUUUUUUCAAAAGCGCUUUUGAAACGCAAAAAAACAAAUGGGGUUCUAGGAAUUUUUUUUGCUGUUUUUUAUAAUUUUUUAUUUUAUUUUAUCAUUUAAUAUUAAGUUAGUUGAAAUUAAAUUUUAUUUUUUAUCUGCUUUUUAUGGGGUUAUCUCGAUUUCAUACCACGGGUUGCGGGUUGGAUAAGUUGACUCGGGUUGAUUUUGUUUAAUUUUUUUAUCCUUUUAUAAUUGAGUAUUUUUUUAAUUGGGUUUUAUAAUAUUUUUUUAAUUUUUUUCUAUAAGUUUAUCCUGAUCUCAUGAUCCAAGUUGCGGGUUUAGUAGGUUGAUCAAAGUUGACUUGAUUUAUUUUUUAGGUUCUUUUUUAAUUGAAUAUAUUUUUAAAAAAAUCAGCAUUCAACAACUCAAAUCUUUUGUUUUUUUUCAAUUUCAUCCAUCAAUAUUAAGUUGUUUAGAAAUUUAGCAACGUAUUUUUUUUUUCAAUUUGCUUUUUAUGGAGUUAUCCCGGUCUUAAGGAUUUAUUUUUUUCACCUCUCAAUUUCAACCUUUAACAUUAGAUCUAUUAGGAAUGGAGCUUCAUGACUUUUUUAUUUACUUUUUAUGAAGUUAUCCUGAUUCAUGACCUAGGUCAUGGGUUUAAUAGGUUAGUCUGAGUUGACUUCGAUUGUUUUUUAUUUUUUAUUUUUUUUUUCAUCAUUGAAAACUAGGUCGGUUGAAAAUUGAGAUUCUUAUGUUUUUUUUACUUUCUUUCUAUCAGAUUAUCUCAAUCUCAUGGCCCAUAUCACGAGUUUUGCAUGUUGACACUACCAGAAAAUCGAUAAAUACAAACGGAGAUACCGAGGAAAUAUUUUCAUCGGUAAAUUUCUGAGGGAUUUUACCGACGGAAAUAUUCCCUCGGUAUAUACUGAGGGAAUUACAGUGGGAAAAAAAAUUAAAACAAAGCAAAAAAAAAAUGAUGACGUGUCAUUUUUACCAACGGAAUUACCGUCGGAAUACUAUUCAUUGGUAAACUGUGAACACUGUUCAUCAUGUCAAUUACAAAGGGAAUCACCGACAGAAUUUUCCGUCGAUAUUUUUCAGAGAGCUCCAGAACUGUUUACUUUCCAAUUGCACUGUUAAUUGUUGUUCUUUACGAACAAAAUCACAAACGGAUUGAAAAUGCAUCAGUGUUAUUUGGCGGUUUUCUGAAAAAAUUCAAUUAAUUUAAAAUUUUCAUUUAAAUAUUACAGACAGAAUCACCGACGGAUUGAAAAAUCGUCGGUAAUUGUUAGCGGUUUCUGAAAAAAAUUACGAAAUUGAAAAUUUAAAUUAAAUAUUACCGAUGGAAUUACCGACGGAAUAAUUAAAAAAUAUUAAUAUUCAAUUAUCCAUCGGUAAAUCCGUUGCUAACGCGCCCCAAUAAAAAGCCUGAAUCCUCUUGUUUCACAAGAGACAGACUCAUUUCUUAUUAUUCUUCUUGUUCUACUUCUACUUCUUCUUCUUUUUCACUGUAUGUAAAAAACAUCAAUAUCUAUUUCUUUCACUUCUUUUCUCUCCUAAUCUCCUUCUCUUUUCCUCCAUGCUCGGGUAUGUCUUCUUCUUCUUUCUUCUUUUAUCCUCUUAUUUUUUUUAAUUAAAAUGCUUUACGAAAUUAUUUUUCUCGCAUUAGCUUCACUUGCAACUACAUUAAGGUAAUAUUUUUCUUUUUCCUUCUUUUUUCAUGAUUUUUUUCACUAUAUUUGUUUUUUAUUUUAUUUUUAAUUGUUUUUGUUCUUAAUAAUUGUAUAAAUGUUGUUGUGAUAUUUUUUUUUCAUAUGAGAUCAAUUUUUAGUUGAUUUAUUUAUAGGAUUUUUAAAUUUUUAGCAAUUGCAACUUCAUUUUUUUCAUAUGAAUUUUUUUAGUUGAAUUUAUUUUUUCGUUUUAUUUAUUUGUUGCAAAUUUUUUUGAAUUGAUUUUUUCAUUCUUUUUUCCAAGCAUUUUGAGUAUAUAUUAUACAAUGUUGAUUUAUGUUAAUUUAAUUAUUUUAUAAUUUUAUAAAAUGAUUUUUUUUAAAAUGUUUUUAAAUAAUCCGUUGGUAAUAAAAAAUAUUAUUUCCCAGGGAUAUACCGAUAAAAUUAAGCGGGUAAUUUUUGUUUUACCAACGGAAAAAAAAUUACUGAUGAAAGAUUCACCGACGGAUCAUUUUCGUUGGUAAAUUAAUUACCGACGGAAUAUGUGUUUUACGCCGACGGAAAAAUUCUGUCGGUAAAACUGUUAAAUCUUGUAGUGUGAUUUGAGUAUUUUUUUGUUAAUUUUUUAUUUAAUAUUCUUCUUUAAAUUCCAUCCUUCAAUACUGAGGUUGGUAGGAAUUGAUCUUUAUAAUAUAUUUUGAUUUGUUUUUUAUACGUUUGUUACAAUUUCAUGACCUGGAUUGCGAAUUUGAUAAGUCAAUCCGGAUUGAUCCAACAUGUAACUAUCUCAAAAAAAAUUAAAAAAAUCAUCUAAUAUGUUACCAUAUUAAUAUUUUUUAAAAAAAUAUCAUUCAAUAUACAUUAUCUUUUAAGUUUAUAAUUAAUUUUUCUUAUUAAGAAACAUGUUAAUAUCGCUUCAACAUUUGUUUUUUUAAGUAGUAACAAUGAUAACAAUGAUGGUGAUGCUGAUGAUGAUGAUAAUAAUAAUAAUAAUAAUAGAUGUGGUGGUGGUGGUGGUGGUGAUGGUGGUAAUAAUGAUAAUGACAAUGAUGAUACUAGUGAUAAUGAUGCUAAUAAUAAUAACAACAAUAGUGAUAAUAAUAACGAAACUGAUAAAAAAAACAACUAAAAAGGAAGGGGGUUUUCUUGUAGAUAUAAAGACAAUCUACCAUUCACUACAACAAGUGAAGUCUAUGGCAUUAAAAAAAAAAAGAGACUUGCCUUGGAGUUAGGGGUGUUUUUGUAUCUUCACACGGCUAUUAGUUAUUAUAGAUUUGGCUGGGGAAUUUUGACCUAUUUAAUAUUCUUAAUGGCAGUAAAAUAACAAAAAAAAAUCCUAAUAAUAAAAGAAUCAACACAGCAAGGACAAAUGUAUUUCAAUAUUUUUAUUUUUUAUAUAAAUAGUCAAAUUACACAUAUACCCUUGAAUCCAAAAAAUAUAAGUAAUUAGGGUCAGGGGUAUUAAGAUGUUUUAGCCUAGAUUUUUUUUUUGUUAAUUGUAUGAUUGAUUGAUGAUGAAAACAUAAUUUAACAUCUAAAUAAUAUUUUUAAUCUGGAAAAAAUGUUGGCACAUUGGGGUUGCCACGCAGUUUGGGUGGCAGCUCUCGGUUAAUUUUAUUUAUCUUCAUCUUCUUUUUCAUUGUGGGUUGUAGGUGUUGUCAAUAAAUAAACAACGUUGUCCUAAUUUUAAUUAAUAUUGAUACAUAUUUAUGAUGUUCGUCUUUUAUGUUCUUUUUUAACCUCAUUUUAGGACCCAAACAUUAUUUUAUUGUAUGAAAAAAUAUUUCAGCCCCGCGGAGAAGAGUGGACACUAAAGCUAGUUUUGUCUAUUUCGAUUUGUUUACGAAGGUGUUUCCAUCAAAAUUUUCCAAUAAAAGCAUGACACGUGUAUCAUUUAAUCAGCAAUUAAUUGGGUGUUAAAACAUGUAAGCAAGUCUCUCAUGCCCUCCUUUCAUAUCUGUCUUUGUUAAUAAAAAGGGAAAAAGAAAAUCCCCAUCGAGAGAGCGACAUUAGACCAUGAACUUAUCUCAAGAUAUCAAAACUCAAAAAGAAAAUUCCAUGCUACCUUGUUUUUUGUUAAAAAAAUUGAUAUUUAAUAGUUUUAUUAUACAUCCAACAAGAAUUAUUGUAUUUUUUUCAUAAGUUAUUAUAUUUAUGUCAAGAUUUAAAUUUAUCAGGAAACCGUAGUGAAUAAGAUUAUUAGAUAUUGAUGUGUUAACUAUAUAUGAUUUAUUAAUCUCCAAUCAAUUAAUAUUUUUUUUUGCUCUAGUAAUUGAAGGAGAACCACCAGACAUAAGUUGAUCUCGCAUCAAAGUUCCUCGAUUUUUUUUUAAAUUAACACUGCUUAAAAAAAUAUGGUAAAAUAAUAUAUCCAUAAAAAAAAAACUCGGCAACGAAAAAGAAAAAAGCAAAGCACAUAUAAUUUGCUAAAAUGAAUAUUAUAAAAAGAGUUGCUAAAACGAAAUAAUAAUUUAUUAAUAUCGAAGAAAAUACACAAGUUCUAAUAAAUCGAUAUAUACAUACCCCUCACCUCAACAAAAAUACAACCACCAGACAAACCCAUAUAUAAUAAUAAAUAAACCUUUAUUUCACCGUAUAAACAAACAAAUAAAUAAUAGUACUAAAAAAAAUCCCUCAAAAAAAGACUCUCAAAAGAGUAACACGUGUAUAAAUCCCAUCCCAGUAAAACAUAAAAAUGACCAAGAGAAUCACAGAUCACAAAAACCUAGUGCCUCAAAAGAGAAAGCAUAGACAAGAAGAGAGAAGAGCAGAUAAGAGCCCCAGACAUCCCAAGAGAAAAGGAAGCAGCUCCCUUGUCCAUUCCAGGAGCUGGCGCUGGCGCUAACUCUCCAAGAUCUUGGGCGGAAACAGCAACACUGGCAAGCAUUGCCAUGACAACAGCAGCAGCAGCAAACAACUUCAUUGCAGCAAAUGCCAUUGUACAAAAUCGGGUGUCAAGACACGAAAACAAACCCUUUCAAGAGAUAUACUGAGAGCGUAACCAAAUCUUGAAUAUUGUUCAGUGUUCUUGAUCCAGGGUGGUGAUGAGAAGGACGAAGUGGCAAGGGGUGUUUAUAUAGUGAGGGUUGGUGUAGGUUUUCACAAAGAAAACGUGUGGGGUCAUAGAUAACGUGGACAGCUGGAGAGACACGUUGAGGCAGAGAAACACAGAGGCCAGCAAUAAAACGGCUGGUGCUUAAAAAUAAUUUGAUUUUUAUUAACGUUAGCGGACACUUGGAGUCCUGAUUUUAUUUCCCUAUCUUGGUAAACCGUUACCUAACACUAGUCCCCAUGUCGAACACUCAACGUCUUUUGUGUUAACAUGGAAAGUUUACACAAAAAAUUGACUUCAAAUUAAUGGGAUUAAUUUAAGGAGAUCAAAGUUGAAAAACUAAUUUUUAAAUGAUCAUUUAUCUGUUUUUUUAAAGACUACGUACUAUAUCUUUGCAGCACUAUUGUCGACCCGGCAAUAUUGAAAGGUAACAAGGUGAUUAAAAACUUGAAAUUAGUGUUUUUAUCAACAUUCAAUGCAUAAAAAAAUAGCGAGGAAGAAAGUAGUCGAACGAGUCUGUCUGAGAGUAUAGUCGUGAUUGCUUUUCGUGUAAAAUAUAUUAAAAUAAUAUUUUUUUAUUUUUAAAAAUUAUUUUUGACAUCAUCGCUUCAAAAUAUCUAAAAAUAUCAAAAAAAAAUUAAUUUGAAGUAAAAAAAAUAAAAUAAAAAUUAAUUUUUUUCAAAAAUAUUUUUAAAAUAUAAAAACAAACAUCACCGUUAUCCAUGUCCCUCUUCGACAGGCAUGGUGUGUUUUAUCAAUUUUUUUUUUAGUUUAACGUGGGUGUUCGGGUCAGCUUGCGCGCACCUCGACUAAUCCCACGGGCCCUGAAGUUAACGACCAUGUAAGCCUUCAGUGCCCAUCAUAUGAGCAACCACAUGGCUCAAACCUGAGACCACAAAGGGAGCAAACCUCUUGGUCCCAAGCUUUUAUCACUGGACCACCACCUAAAUGGUUGUGUUUUAUCAAUUUUGAAUUAUGGGAUAGUGACCUAAUUAAUUUAACAAUUCAACAUCUUAAUUAAUAUUGUUAAUUAUAAGAGUUUCUUCAUCCGGCCAUGUUUGACGUCCUUUAUUCUAAACUCAUCCAACCGCUGGUUGUACAAUGAAAUCAACACCAAACACAUAAAAUAUCAAGAUAGAAGUAGUUCUUUCUCACAUCAAAUAAUUAAAGGAGGAAAGUAUUUUUUUGUUUUAGAGAGAGAAAAGAUGGAAAUAAAUUAAUUUUUAUUCAAUGUGUGGGAUUGAAAAGAUCAUGAUUAAAUUGACGCUAAGGGUUUUAAGUAAUUAUGAUAAAGGAAAAUAAAUUAAUGUGUGGGAUUGAAAAGAUCAAGAUUAAUACCUAUAUUUGUUAAAACAGGACUUACUGAUAAUUUGUCCAAAGAAUAAGGUCAUGUCUGCAAAUAACAGGGUUGCUCUCUUUGUUGAAAUCUAAUAGUUUUCCACUGUACUAGGUUGGCGUAUCAUUUUCAGUUCGAUUCGGUUUUUUAUAAAAAAAAUAAUCAGACCGAUUUAAAAAAAAAAUAAAAACCGGUUUGGCUCAGUUGGGCUCGGUUUUGACUCGGUUUUUUCUAGUUUGGAUUGGUUUUGGCUCUGUUUUUUUAAUUUAGGUUCGGUUCGGUUUGGUUUCAGACUUAUAAAACUGAAACCGAACUGAAUCGGUCGGUUUUCUCAAAAUUUUAAUCGAUUUAAUUUGUUUAUUUUUACGGUUCGAUUUUUUCAAUUUUUAUUUUUAUUUUUUUGGUUUAAUCGGUUUUUUUCUCACCCAUGAUACUAGUGAGUAAAAGCAAUGUGCAUAUAAAAAUAAAUCUGAAAAACGGAUAACGUUGAAGUACAGGCGCUUGAAAAGAAAAACAUUGAAGUUUUCUUAUCUUAAAUUGGGCUGGGUUAGCCGAAAUGUACUCCAUUGAUCGAUUCAUAUAAAGUGAUGCUCUUCUGAUAAAUAAUAAUAAAGUGAGGUGCUUAAACAAAAUAAAUAAAAGCUGAAAUACUUGAACAGAAAUUUAACAAAAAUAGAGGUACUAAAUAACGUCACAUCAUUGCUUCAAAUUUCAAACCAUAAUUAAAUUGUGCUCAAUGCUCAUAGAGGCACCGAAAAAUCUUAAGAUUUUUCAAACUGACGAAUCUCACUUUACAUGCGUUUUAUUCGUACAGUGUUUAUGAGGUAGAGAUUUCAAAUCUUCAUUGUGUUGCCGAUGUCGAUAACAAAUCGGUAUCUGACAUCUGUUUUCAUAAGCCGCUCCAUGGCUGUGUUCACAUAAUCCAUCGAGAUAACCUCAAUGUCUGCCGUGAUGUUGUUCUUGGCAGCAAAAUCAAUCAUCUCCUGUGUUUCCUUCAUUCCUCCUAUGCAACUCCCACCCACUAUUUUUCUUCCUGCCAAGCCAAUAACAUGGAAUUCGUCGCUGUCAGCUCAAUACCAAAAUAAAUUUGGAACACAUAAUGAGAUGCAUGCAUAUAUACAUACCCAUGAGCAGAGGAAACACUGGUAGCUCAAGUGGCUUCUCAGGCGCACCAACCAAGACCAGCUUUCCUUGAGUCUUCAAUAGACUAAUCAGAGGCAAGAUAGGAUGCAUGGCCGACACCGUGUCAAUUACACCAUCCAUUGUGCCCUUUGCAGCCUGAAUAACAAGCAAUACUAUAUUAUGUUUGAUGUUUAAUUGGUUUUACAGAUACAAGGAAUGUGCUCUGAACCAUGUUUAUAUACCUGCAUCUCAUCCUGGUCACGACUAACUAGAAACGAGUCAGCACCAAGAUGCUCAAGGGCUUCUUGUUUCUUCUUGGGAGAGGUGCUAAUAACUGUAACCUUGACCCCCAUGGCCUUUGCAAACUUUACAGCUACAUGACCUAGCCCGCCGAGCCCAACCACGCCCACAUGCAUACCCGGUUUGUCAAGAUUAAAAAACCUCAAGGGGCUGUAAACUGUAAUCCCAGCACAUAGGAGAGGCGCAGCGGCAUCUAGAGGUAGGUUGUCUGGAAUACGAACUACGAAGUGCUCAUCCGUGACCAUGCUGUUCGAGUAGCCUCCGUACGUGGUGGUUCCAUCGGAGUAUUUGGUACUGUAGGUGAGUAUCAUUUUUGGGCAAUAAUUCUCGAGAUUGUUGUUGCAACUAUCGCAAGAGUGGCAUGAUCCAACCA
rnacentral:lncRNA from 1 species